AUCUACGGGCGAACGCAACGGGGGAAUUGAGUGCGACUCGACUCGACUGAGGAGAUCUGAGAGACAUUUGCUUACGUACAUCGGCCGGUUCCACGACAAUCACCUUGUUCCUGCCCAGGCGAGAGGAGAGCUUGGCGGCCAUGGCGCAGCCGCCGGACCCGCCGCCAACAACCAAAACUUUACAGCUGCAAAUAUUAUAAAAAGUUACUCAAGCUCGUAAUUACCGGAACAUGUUAAAAAAGAAGAACCACAACAACAACAACAAAAAGACACGAACUUAAAUUUCGAUCAAUCAUUCGUAUUCCGAUCCGGACCUAAUCCGCAGACUGAUUUGCAUACCGAAAGAUAUGGCUACAUCGAAAGCUGAUCAAGAAUACGAAAUACCCUCUACAAGGGUAAAAUAACAUGUAUAACCGACUGCGCAAUACUCUGUUGCAAUGAAAAACUGUGCUUAAUUUAAACGAAAAUUUGCAUCUUUCUUUAACUAACAAGAAUUUUGCUAUCAGCUAAUGAAAUUUUAACCUUGGAUCUUAUGCUAUCUAUAAAAUGUUUGGACUGUGCUUUCAUUCCCGUCAAAGUUGACGUGCAACCAAUAUACCCGACGGCACCUUGCGAACAGGAUACAUAUGUACAUAAAAAUGGGAAUGCAACUGUCCAAAUUAACGAUCCCCAACGGAACCUGUUUGUUUACCGGCUACCCAUGGUGGGGGCGGGGGUGGGGGUGUGGGUGUGGCAGGCGAAAACUUACUCGUGUUUGUCGUGAAGCGCUUGGCUCGCCGAUAGAUGUCGCACCAGGAAGCGCUCGCUGAGGCGGCGUGUGGCCAGGAGCCUGGACUGUCUAAGGGCCAGCGGCAGGCAAGUGUAGGAGCUCAUUGUGUAUACAAAACCGUUUGGAUCAUGCGAUCGGCAACUUGUUGCUAUUAAAGAUAUCUCUGUAUAUAUAUGUAUGUA